GUUCUGGUUCUGCUGAGACUUCUAAGUCUUCAACGGGUUCUGGGGUUUCUAAGGGUUCUAACAAAUCCUCACAAUCUGGUUCUGGGGUUUCUAAGGGCUCCGACAAAUCUUCACAAUCUAGUUCUGCAAGUCAAGGUGGUGCUAUGGGUCACAA